GACAGAGUUCCCUAGCGUUAGGCGGCAUCACUGGGCUUAAAGCGUGUGUAGGCGGAUGCCUAAGUACCUUGUGAAAUCCCACGGCUCACCCGUGGAACUGCUUGGUAUACUGGGUGUCUUGAGCCACUUAGGGGCUACCGGAACAAAUGGUGGAGCGGUGAAAUGCGUAGAUAUCAUUUGGAACGCCAAUGGUGAAAACAGGUAGCUGGGAGUGUGCUGACGCUGAGACACGAAAGCCAGGGGAGCAAACGGG
rnacentral:rRNA from 1 species